rnacentral:rRNA from 1 species
AGUAACGCGUGAGUAACCUGCCUUACACAAGGGGAUAGCCUCUGGAAACGGAGAAUAAUACCCUAUGAAACCAGACAAUCGCAUGAUAAUCUGGUCAAAAUGUUUAGUGGUGUAAGAUGGACUUGCGUCUGAUUAGCUAGUUGGUGAGAUAAAAGCUCACCAAGGCAACGAUCAGUAGCCGGCUUGAGAGAGUGUACGGCCACAUUGGGACUGAGACACGGCCCAG